GAUGAAGAACGUAGCGAAAUGCGAUACGUAAUGUGAAUUGCAAAUUCAGUGAAUCAACGAGUCUUUGAACGCACAUUGCGCCCCCUGGUAUUCCGGGGGGCAUGCCUGUCCGAGCGUCAUUGCUGCCCUCAAGCACGGCUUGUGUGUUGGGCCCCGUCCUCCGAUCCCGGGGGACGGGCCCGAAAGGCAGCGGCGGCACCGCGUCCGGUCCUCGAGCGUAUGGGGCUUUGUCACCCGCUCUGUAGGCCCGGCCGGCGCUUGCCGAUCAACCCAAAUUUUUAUCCAGGUUGACCUCGGAUCAGGUAGGGAUACCCGCUGAACUUAAGCAUAUCAAUAAGCGGAGGA
rnacentral:misc_RNA from 1 species